CAGAAUGUCCAGUUAAAACUGAGUUUUAGAUAAACAAUAAAUUUUUUUGUAUAAGGAUAUCCCAAAUAUUGUAUGGAACAUACUUAUGCUAAAACAUUUAUUCAGUGUUUAUCUGAAAUUCAAAUUUAACUGGAAGUCUUGUA
rnacentral:miRNA from 1 species